rnacentral:rRNA from 1 species
AGAGUUUGAUCCUAGCUCAGGAUGAAUGCUGGCGGCGUGGAUAAGGCAUGCAAGUCGAGUGGGUUUAGACCCACGGCAGACGAGGUAGUAACGCGUAGGAACGUACCCCGGAGUCGGGCAUAUUCCAUCGAAAGAUGGCGCAAUUCCCGAUGGUCUCUAAGGAGUAAAGAUUUAUCGCUCCGGGAGCGGCCUGCGUAAUAUCAGCUAGUUGGUGAGGUAAUGGCUCACCAAGGCUAUGACGUUUAGGGGAGCUGAGAGGCUGACCCCCACCGAUGGAACUGAGAUACGGUCCUUACUCCUACGGGAGGCCGCAGUCGAGAAUCUUCCGCAAUGGACGCAAGUCUGACGGAGCGACGCCGCGUGGUGGAUGAAGUCCUUCGGGACGUAAACACCUUUUAUGAGGGAUGACAUUUCGACAGUACCUCAUGAAUAAGGGGCUCCUAACUCUGUGCCAGCAGGAGCGGUAAUACAGAGGCCCCAAGCAUUAUCCGGAAUUACUGGGCGUAAAGGGUGCGUAGGUGGCGUUGUUAGUCCUCCUUUAAAUCUUCCGGGCUCAACCCGGAAGCUCGGGGGGAAACGGCAGCGCUCGAGGAUGUAAGAGGUACGUGGAACUCUAGGUGUAGGGGUGAAAUCCGUUGAUAUCUAGGGGAACACCGAAUGCGAAGGCAGCGUACUGGGACAUUCCUGACACUGAGGCACGAAAGCGUGGGGAGCGAAAAGGAUUAGAUACCCUUGUAGUCCACGCCCUAAACAAUGUUCCCUAGCUAUGAGGAGUAUCGACCCUCUUCGUGGCGUAGCUAACGCGUUAAGGGAACCGCCUGGGUAGUACGGUCGCAAGACUAAAACUCAAAGGAAUAGACGGGAAUUCGCACAAGCGGUGGAUCAUGUGGCUUAAUUCGUCGGUAAGCGAAGAACCUUACCAGGGCUUGAAACCUAGCUGCACGGUUUCCGAAAGGAAAUCAGCCUUCGAGGGUGCUAGGCAGGUGAUGCAUGGUCGUCGUCAGUUCGUGGCUUGAGCUGUUCCCUUAAGUGGGGAAACGAACGCAACCCCCGUUGCCUGUUUUACAUGUCAGGCGAGACUGCUCCCUCGCGGGAGAGGAAGGAGGGGAUGACGCCAGAUCAGCAUGUCCCUCUGAUGCCCUGGGCUGCACACGUGAUACAAUGGGCGCGACAAAAGGAGGCAAUACCGCGAGGUGGAGCAAAUCCCAAAACGCGUCCUCAGUACGGAUUGGAGUCUGCAACCCGACUCCAUGAAGCUGGAAUCGCUAGUAAUCGUAGGUCAGCCAUACUACGGUGAAUACGUUCUCGAAUUUUGUACUCACCGCCCAUCAACUCAAGGGAGCCGGGAAUGCCCGACGUCCGCGUUCAUCGCGGCCCACGGUAAGCUCGGUGACAGGGAGUAAGUUGUAACAAGGCACGGCUA